GAGGUAAGCCUAACUUACAAGACCCCUACAGAGCUUGAGUCAUUCGAGAAGCAGAGGGAGAUCCUUAAGAAAUCUCCAGAGGGAUAACUAAUCAGACCCUCAAAAGAUCAUCGAGAGUGCAAGAUGCUGUAGGCACAAGCUCGUCACUGGCAUAUAUUAUCUCUCGCACGAAGAUGAGAAGUGCUAGAUACAGCAGACACAAGAUCGCCGCAGGCACACAACGCCACUCGUGAGGGCUAACUUAUCAGACCCUCGAGAAGAUCUCGACGACUCCAAGACGGGGCUAACUUGUAAGACCCUUGCAAAGCCUGAGUCAUUCGAGAAGUGGGAGGAGACUCUUAGGAAACCUUCGGAGGGAUAACUAAUCAGGCCCUCAAAAAGCCAUCGAGAGUGCAAGAUGCUGCAGGCACAAGCUCACCGCUGACACACAUUGCCUCUCGCAUAAAGACGAGAAGUGUUAGAUGCUGCAGGCACACAACACCACUCGUGAGGGCUAACUUAUCAGACCUUUGAGAAGACCUCGAUGACUCCAAGGCGGGGCUAACUUACAAGACUUCUGUAGAGUUCGAGUCAUUCGAGAAGUGAGGGGAGACCCUUAGAGAAGCUCUAGAGAGAUAACUAAUCAGACCCUCAAAAGAUCGUCGAGAGUGCAAGAUGUCGCAGGCACAAGCUCACUGCUGGCACAUGUUACCUCACGUGCGAAGAUGAGAAGUGCUAGAUAUCCUAGGCACAAAAUUGCCACAGGCACACGACGUCACUUGUGAGGGCUAACUUAUCAGACCCUCGAGAAGACCUUGACGACUCCAAGGUGGGGCUAACUUACAAGACCUCUGUAGAGCCUGAGUCAUUUG
rnacentral:lncRNA from 1 species